CAGUAGCCGCGGGAAAACGAAGGGGGCUAGCGUUGUUCGGAUUUACUGGGCGUAAAGGGCGCGUAGGCGGACUGAUAAGUCAGGGGUGAAAUCCCAAGGCUCAACCUUGGAACUGCCUUUGAUACUGUUUGUCUUGAGUUCGAGAGAGGUGAGUGGAACUGCGAGUGUAGAGGUGAAAUUCGUAGAUAUAUGGAGGAACACCGGUGGCGAAAGCGGCUCUCUGGCUUGUAACUGACGCUGAGGCUCGAAAGCGUGGGGAGCAAACAGGAUUAGAUACCCCAGUAGUCCCUGUCUCUUAUAC
rnacentral:rRNA from 1 species